CCUACGGGAGGCAGCAGUGGGGAAUAUUGCACAAUGGGGGAAACCCUGAUGCAGCGACGCCGCGUGAGUGAAGAAGGAUUUCGGUAUGUAAAGCUCUAUUAUCAGGGAAGAAAUAAAGUCCUUCGGACUUUGGACGGUACCUGACUAAGUAGCCCCGGCUAACUACGUGCCAGCAGCCGCGGUAAUACGUAGGGGGCAAGCGUUAUCCGGAUUUACUGGGUGUAAAGGGAGCGUAGACGGCAGCGCAAGUCUGGAGUGAAAUCCCAUGGCUUAACCAUGGAACUGCUUUGGAAACUGUGCAGCUGGAGUGCAGGAGAGGUAAGCGGAAUUCCUGGUGUAGCGGUGAAAUGCGUAGAUAUUAGGAGGAACACCAGUGGCGAAGGCGGCUUACUGGACUGUAACUGACGUUGAGGCUCGAAAGCGUGGGGAGCAAACAGGAUUAGAUACCCGAGUAGUC
rnacentral:rRNA from 1 species